ensembl:lncRNA
AAACAGGUCUGGGACCAGGCUAACUGGCAAGAACAAACAGGUCUGGGACCAGGCUAACUGGCAAGAACAAACAGGUCUGGGACCAGGCUAACUGGCAACAAUCGGGUCUGGGACCAGGCCAACUGGCAACAAUCGGGUCUGGGAUCAGGCUAACUGGCUACAAACGGGUCUGGGAUCAGGCUUACUGGCUACAAAUGUGUCUGGGGCCAGGCUAACUGGCAACAAGCAGAUCUGGGACCAGGCUAACUGGCAACAAACAGAUCUGGGACCAGGCUAACUGGCAACAAUCAGAUCUGGGACAAGGCUAACUGGCUACAAACAGAUCUGGGACCAGGCUAACUGGCAACAAACAGAUCUGGGACCAGGCUAACUGGCAACAAACAGAUCUGGGACCAGGCUAACUGGCAACAAUCAGAUCUGGGACCAGGCUAACUGGCAACAAACAGGUCUGGGACCAGGCUAACUGGCUACAAACAGGUCUGGGGCCAGGCUAACUGGCAACAAACAGGUCUGGGACCAGGCUAACUGGCUACAAUCAGAUCUGGGACCAGGCUAACUGGCUACAAACAGGUCUGGGACCAGGCUAACUGGCUACAAACAGGUCUGGGACCAGGCUAAUUUUUUUACGCUCCAGUCUAAGUCUGAGAUCAUCUUCCUUUGUAUUCCCUCCUUUCUUUUCAUUUAUUUCUAAGAAGAUUCUAUUAUCAAGUGAGACAUUUAAAAAAAAAAAAAUUUUAUUGGUUGUAGUCGUUCUUCAAUGUCCCGCCCACUGCAGUCUCAUUUUGAUUUGAUUGGUUGUAUUACGACGGAGAUGUGGUUGUCCCACCUAGCUUAUCGUAACAUGAAUGCACUAACUUGUAAAUCGCUCUGGAUAAGAAUAUCUGUUAUCAUGAUGACGUUGACAAAUGAAAUGCUAUUUCUGGGACUUCUUUCUCCUCUGCGAUAUUAAACAAGCAACUUGUCUGAGUGAAUGCAAUGUGUAAACAAUACUAAGUUAUACCGGAUCAAGAAAAAUCAUUAUUUUAGAAACUUAAAAAAAAAAAAUUAAAAUAAAGUUUGUGCGAAAUAUAACGAUAAAAUUAUAAUGACACAUUUAUUUGUAUUUAUUAAUUUUUUUGUUCUCUUUUUAAUAAAUGAAUGUCGUUUUUUAAAAUUUUAUUUAACUAGGCAAGUCAGGUAAGAACAAAUUCUUAUUUACAAUGACGGCCUACACCGGCCAAAACCGUAACCCGGACGACGCUGGACCAAUUGUGCACCGCCCUAUGGGUCUCCCAAUCACGGUCGUUAAGUAUAAAUGGUAUGUAAACUAGGUGUGGCCAUUUUGAAUGAAUAGUUGAUAUCUCCUGGAGGUUUAGUGGAAGCAAGUAGAAGUUAGGAGUUUUAUGUUUUAGCAUGGUCAUCUACUGUGUCUGAAAGAGAGAAUGAAGGUCAUUUAUCAGAUGUGCUGUUGUAAAAAAAUAAAUGUUUGAUGCUUAGACAUGUCUCAUUUGUGACUCCUUUCUGAAAAUAAUAUGUCUACAAAACACUAGGAUGUUGGUUGCAAUCCAGGCUGUUGUCAAGGCCAUUGCCCUGCACAGAAUAUACAAUCUCAAUGGAUAAUUUGAACGCCUGGGAAAAGUGUUAAUUCCCUCACAAAACACACCAAUAUAAUAUAGCUUUUUUAUUUUUUUAACUACUGAAAAGCUCCCAGACUUUGAUUACAGAGGACCUACAGUGCUGGACUACUGUCUCCUCCUACCCUGUUGCUGGGUCUGUGUAGAUAUGACUGAUACUGGCCUACUGCUGGGUCUGUGUAGAUAUGACUGAUACUGGCCUACUGCUGGGUCUGUGUGGAUAUGACUGAUACUGGCCUACUGCUGGGUAUGUGUAGACAUGACUGAUACUGGCCUACUGCUGGGUCUGUGUAGAUAUGACUGAUACUGGCCUACUGCUGGGUCUGUGUAG